UACGAAGGGGGCUAGCGUUGCUCGGAAUUACUGGGCGUAAAGGGCGCGUAGGCGGAUGUCUAAAGUUGGGGGUGAAAUCCCGGGGCUCAACCUCGGAACCGCCUUCAAUACUGGAUAUCUUGAGUUCGGGAGAGGUGAGUGGAAUGCCGAGUGUAGAGGUGAAAUUCGUAGAUAUUGGGAAGAACACCGGUGGCGAAGGCGGCGACCUGGUCCGAUACUGACGCUGAGGCGCGAAAAGCGUGGGGAGCAAACAGG
rnacentral:rRNA from 1 species